AACGAACGCUGGCGGCGUGCUUAACACAUGCAAGUCGAGCGGUAAAGGCCCUUUCGGGGGUACACGAGCGGCGAACGGGUGAGUAACACGUGGGUGACCUGCCCUCAGCUCUGGGAUAAGCCUGGGAAACCGGGUCUAAUACUGGAUAUGACUCCAUGACGCAUGUUGUGGGGUGGAAAGCCUUGUGCGGCUGAGGAUGGGCCCGCGGCCUAUCAGC
rnacentral:rRNA from 1 species